rnacentral:rRNA from 1 species
AGCGAAGCGGGAAGAGCUCAAAUUUAUAAUCUGGCACCUUCGGUGCCCGAGUUGUAAUCUCUAGAAAUGUUUUCCGCGUUGGACCGCACACAAAUCUGUUGGAAUACAGCGGCAUAGUGGUGAGACCCCCGUAUAUGGUGCGGACGCCCAGCGCUUUGUGAUACAUUUUCGAAGAGUCGAGUUGUUUGGGAAUGCAGCUCAAAUUGGGUGGUAAAUUCCAUCUAAAGCUAAAUAUUGGCGAGAGACCGAUAGCGAACAAGUACCGUGAGGGAAAGAUGAAAAGCACUUUGGAAAGAGAGUUAACAGUACGUGAAAUUGUUGGAAGGGAAACGCUUGAAGUCAGACUUGCUUGCCGAGCAAUCGGUUUGCAGGCCAGCAUCAGUUUUCCGGAAUGGAUAAUGGUAGAGAGAAGGUAGCAGUUUCGGCUGUGUUAUAGCUCUCUGCUGGAUACAUCUUGGGGGACUGAGGAACGCAAUGUGCCUUUGGCGGGGGUUUCGACCUCUUCACACUUAGGAUGCUGGUGGAAUGGCUUUAAACGACCCGUCUUGAAACACGGACCA